rnacentral:tRNA from 5 species
CGGGGUGUAGCGCAGUUUGGUAGCGCGUACGGUUCGGGACCGUAAGGCCGCGAGUUCAAGUCUCGCCACUCCGACCA